UGAGUAACCUGCCCUUAACUCUGGGAUAAGCCUGGGAAACUGGGUCUAAUACCGGAUAUGACUCCUCAUCGCAUGGUGGGGGGUGGAAAGCUUUAUUGUGGUUUUGGAUGGACUCGCGGCCUAUCAGCUUGUUGGUGAGGUAAUGGCUCACCAAGGCGACGACGGGUAGCCGGCCUGAGAGGGCGACCGGCCACACUGGGACUGAGACACGGCCCAGACUCCUACGGGAGCAG
rnacentral:rRNA from 1 species